UGCUCCCACCUUGUCAAGAGCCUUCUGCGAGGACCGCGUCACAAAACACCCAUGGUCCCGAGCCAAACCCCGGAGAAACCCUAGCAAGACCGGUUGUCCCUCUCAGGCGCGGCGCGGUGCGGUGCGGCAUCCCCGACGAACGAUGGCCGGAUAUCGCAGUCGGAGUCCGAGUGGGAGCUACAGCCCGCGGCGGCGGUACAGCCGGAGCCCUCCUAGGCGCAAGCGCUACGACGACCCCCGGGACCGUUACCGCUGGGCCGGGGCCGGCGGAGGCGGGGACCGACGCGGUUACGGUCGGCCUUCGGCGCAGUCCGGUCUCCUCAUCCGCAACAUCUCCCUCACAGCCAGGCCAGAAGAUAUUCGUGUUCCAUUUGAGCAAUUCGGUCCUAUAAAGGACGUUUACUUACCGAGGAAUUUCCACACCAGGGAACUUCGUGGUUUUGGAUUUGUCAAAUUCCGCUACCCUGAGGAUGCUGCAGUUGCCAAGCAAGAGAUGAAUCAUCAAGUCAUCGGUGGUCGAGAAAUUUCAAUAGUUUAUGCUGAGGAGAAUCGAAAAACGCCACAAGAAAUGCGCAGGAGAACAAGAACGAGUGGUAGGUACAUGGAGGGAAGAUACACAAGACGAUCACUAUCAAGAUCUCCAAGGUCUCGUUCCCACUCUUAUUCACCGUCGCCUUCUCCAGUUAGGCGUGACUUCAGUCAACAAAGAAUAUAGAGUAUCUAAAAGAUCAAAAGACAACCAUGAUGUUGAAGAAUAAAGGCCAAAGUGAAAGUACCAUGACCUCCAGGGUUGGAGCAUGUGAAAGGCAUUUCUGUUAAAGAUAAAGUGGUACUGUCAGCCAGAGUUUAAUGAUAAUUGGUUAAGAAACCUGAGGGAAAGAGUAUUUUGAAGUUGAGCCAGCUUGUUAAGAAACCUGAGGGAAAGAGUAUAUUGCACAAUUGCAUGUUUGGAUCAAAGUGGGUAGCUUUUAUUGAUAUGGGGCAGGGGCAGGGGACACCGGGAUGAUUAUUCCCCUGAGUACUCACACUCUCCACGUCCUCGGGACAACAGGCGCUACAGGUCAGAUAGUAGCUCUCCAAGCCUAGACCACAAACCUCAGUCGACAGCAGUCAAUAAUGGACAUAAUCCAGCAGCUGUAUCCAGUCCCAGAUAAUAUGAUGCCAGUAUGGAUGCCUUCAGUGGAGUUCGGAGGCUGGAGACUGCAGACUAUAUUUUCGUCAAUCUUCUCUAAGAGAUGCGUAGGUUUGUAGUAAACAGAUGCUUGUAAUUGUAUUACAGGUGAUGGUUUGGGUUUUGACUGUUGAGGCACGCUGUUGCUUUUGUGACGCUGCUUUAAUGCUUUACCAACCGAUGGUACCAUUGUGGAAUUUUGCGCGUUUGUUUUUGGCUUGAAUACUACCAACAUAUCAUCUUUUCGCACAUGUUAACCCUUGUUAAUUACCGCGUUAGAUGCCUUA